rnacentral:rRNA from 1 species
UGGGGAAUCUUGCACAAUGGGGGCAACCCUGAUGCAGCGACGCCGCGUGAGCGAUGAAGCCCUUCGGGGCGUAAAGCUCUUUCGACCGGAACGAUAAUGACGGUACCGGGAGAAGAAGCUGCGGCUAGCUACGUGCCUGCAGCCGCGGUAAUACGUAGGCAGCAAGCGUUGUUCGGAGUUACUGGGCGUAAAGAGUGCGUAGGCGGUUUUCUAAGUUCGGUGUGAAAUCUCCCGGCUUAACUGGGAGGGUGCGCCGAAGACUGGGAAGCUGGAGUGUGGGAAAGGCGGCGGAAUUCCUGGUGUAGCGGUGAAAUGCGUAGAUAUCAGGAGGAACACCGGCGGUGUAGACGGCUUGCUAGACCAUAACUGACGCUGAGGCACGAAAGCGUGGGUAGCAAACA